UGAGGGGUGAAAUCUAGUCUU
rnacentral:siRNA from 1 species